AACUUUCAACAACGGAUCUCUUGGUUCUCGCAACGAUGAAGAACGCAGCGAAAUGCGAUACGUAAUGCGAUUUGCAUUUUUUCGUGAGUCAUCGAAUCUUUGAACGCACAUUGCGCUCUUUGGUAUUCCAGAGAGCAUGUCUGUUUGAGCGUCGUUU
rnacentral:rRNA from 1 species